GUUGGCCACUGCCCAUCAUUGAGAAUUUGGAAUUCAGCCCUUUCAGAUUCUAUCCGAGCUGGAAGAACUGACACUGUCUGGAAAUUGUAUGAGGAUAUGACAGAGUCUGGUGUUGUAGCAGAUGUAGGUACAAUUGGGCACUUGAUUCAAGCAUUUUGUAUGGAGAACAAUUUUCCAGAUGGUCAUCAACUUCUUCGACAGGCUUUGGAAGCU
rnacentral:misc_RNA from 1 species